rnacentral:rRNA from 1 species
UACGUAGGUGGCAAGCGUUGUCCGGAUUUAUUGGGUUUAAAGGGUGCGUAGGCGGCUCUGUAAGUCAGUGCUGAAAUAUCCCGGCUUAACUGGGAGGGUGGCAUUGAUACUGUGGAGCUAGAGUACAGAUGAGGUAGGCGGAAUUGACGGUGUAGCGGUGAAAUGCUUAGAUAUCGUCAAGAACACCUAUAGCGAAGGCAGCUUACUAGGCUGUAACUGACGCUGAGGCACGAAAGUGUGGGGAUCAAACAGGAUUAGAAACCCCCGUAGUCC